AUCCUACCUAAACUCAUUACCAUUACCAUUUCGAUUCCAAUAUUUAAACCAAACACACCCUAAGUUUUCUCCGAAAACAUUCGGGCUUAAAUUGUCAUAUGGCCUUUUCAAAGGAUUUGACAAAAGAAAUUAGGAGGCCCAUGGAUCUGUUUGGAAGCCAGCUUUCCUUUUGAAAUUUGAAGAGAGAAACCGAGGGAGAUUGGUGGUCGGAGAUGAAUAAGAGAUUCGGCGGAAGGAGUAAGCCGACGGGAACUCCGUCGCUCGCUUGGUCCUGCGUUGUGGUUGUUGCUUCGUUACUCACCGGCGCCUCCGUUGUCCACAACUUCUUCAAACCCGAUUUGACCCUACCACCAGUAGAAAGCAUUGAUGGGGCUAAGCAAGAACAAGAGGAUAAACAAUAAUUGCCUUCUCAAACAUCCUUUGUUUGUCUCAGUUUGAUAGACUUGGAAUUGCUGGAAACUCCAACACUGAACUUACUGGAAAUGAAGUACUUGUUGAAAGCUUUCAGGUUGUUACAUAUUUCUAGGAUACAAUUUUUUUAAAUUCAUUUUAGUGUUUCCGCAUAUCAAUUCAAUGUGAUACUAAGGAAUGUUUCUUUCAAAUCUUUGUUUUCCAUUUCUUUAGUUAUACAUGUAUUUAGUUUUCUAAAUUUAUUUUUAAGAUUUAUAGUUUUCUACAUUUAUUUUAAGACAGGCAGUGACUAGGUUCUUAUCCAUUAGAUGAAUGUGUUGACGCAA